AGUCAAGUAAUUAAGUGCAUGUGGUGGAUGCCUUGGCAGUCAGAGGCGAUGAAAGACGUGAUAGCCUGCGAAAAGCUCCGGGGAGGCGGCAAAUAUCCUUUGAUCCGGAGAUGUCUGAAUGGGGGAACCCACCUACUUUAAGGUAGGUAUUGCAACAUGAAUACAUAGUGUUGCAAGGCGAACGAGGGGAAGUGAAACAUCUCAGUACCCUUAGGAAAAGAAAUCAAUUGAGAUUCCCUCAGUAGCGGCGAGCGAACGGGGAUCAGCCCAUUAAGUUAUGUGUGUUUUAGUGGAACGCUCUGGGAAGUGCGAACGUAGAGGGUGAUAUUCCCGUACACGAAAGGGCACACAUAAUGAUGACGAGUAGGGCGAGGCACGUGAAACCUUGUCUGAAUAUGGGGGGACCAUCCUCCAAGGCUAAAUACUCCUGACUGACCGAUAGUGAACCAGUACCGUGAGGGAAAGGCGAAAAGAACCCCUGUGAGGGGAGUGAAAUAGAUCCUGAAACCGCAUGCAUACAAGCAGUGGGAGCACCUUCGUGGUGUGACUGCGUACCUUUUGUAUAAUGGGUCAGCGACUUAUAUUCAGUAGCGAGGUUAACCGUAUAGGGGAGCCGUAGAGAAAUCGAGUCUUAAUAGGGCGUUUAGUUGCUGGGUAUAGACCCGAAACCAGGCGAUCUAUCCAUGAGCAGGUUGAAGGUUGGGUAACACUAACUGGAGGACCGAACCCACUGUCGUUGAAAAGCCAGGGGAUGACUUGUGGAUAGGGGUGAAAGGCUAAUCAAGCCUGGUGAUAGCUGGUUCUCCCCGAAAGCUAUUUAGGUAGCGCCUCGGACGAAUACCAUAGGGGGUAGAGCACUGUUUCGGCUAGGGGGUCAUCCCGACUUACCAAACCGAUGCAAACUCCGAAUACCUAUGAGUACUAUCCGGGAGACAGACUGCGGGUGCUAACGUCCGUAGUCAAGAGGAAAACAAUCCAGACCGCAGCUAAGGCCCCAAAAUCAUAGUUAAGUGGGAAACGAUGUGGGAAGGCAUAGACAGCUAGGAGGUUGGCUUAGAAGCAGCCACCCUUUAAAGAAAGCGUAAUAGCUCACUAGUCGAGUCGGCCUGCGCGGAAGAUGUAACGGGGCUAAAACUAUGUGCCGAAGCUGCGGAUGUAUACUUUGUAUACGUGGUAGGGGAGCGUUCUGUAAGCCGAUGAAGGUGUGUUGAGAAGCAUGCUGGAGGUAUCAGAAGUGCGAAUGCUGACGUGAGUAACGACAAAACGGGUGAAAAACCCGUUCGCCGAAAGACCAAGGGUUCCAGUCCAACGUUAAUCGGGGCUGGGUGAGUCGACCCCUAAGGCGAGGCCGAAAGGCGUAGUCGAUGGGAAAAUGGUUAAUAUUCCAUUACUUCUGUAAUGCGAUGAGAGGACGGAGAAGGCUAAAUCAGCCUGGCGUUGGUUGUCCAGGUGAAAGGAUGUAGGCAUGUAUCUUAGGCAAAUCCGGGGUACUCUAUGCUGAGAUCUGAUAGCAAGCUGUACUUGUACAGCGAAGUGGUUGAUGCCAUGCUUCCAGGAAAAGUCUCUAAGCUUCAGUUACACAGGAAUCGUACCCGAAACCGACACAGGUGGUCAGGUCGAGUAGACCAAGGCGCUUGAGAGAACUCUGCUGAAGGAACUAGGCAAAAUGGUACCGUAACUUCGGGAGAAGGUACGCUGUUGUUGGUGAUGGAACUCGCUUCCUGAGCUGACGACAGCCGCAGAAACCAGGCCGCUGCAACUGUUUAUUAAAAACAUAGCACUCUGCAAACACGAAAGUGGACGUAUAGGGUGUGAUGCCUGCCCGGUGCUGGAAGGUUAAUUGAUGGGGUUAGCGUAAGCGAAGCUCUUGAUCGAAGCCCCAGUAAACGGCGGCCGUAACUAUAACGGUCCUAAGGUAGCGAAAUUCCUUGUCGGGUAAGUUCCGACCUGCACGAAUGGCAUAAUGAUGGCGGCGCUGUCUCCAGCAGAGGCUCAGUGAAAUCGAAAUCGCUGUGAAGAUGCAGUGUACCCGCGGCUAGACGGAAAGACCCCGUGAACCUUUACUGCAGCUUGACACUGAACUUUGACCUUACUUGUGUAGGAUAGGUGGGAGGCUUUGAAGCUGGAACGCUAGUUCCAGUGGAGCCGUCCUUGAAAUACCACCCUGGUAAUGUUGAGGUUCUAACUCUGUCCCGUGAUCCGGGACGAGGACCGUGUCUGGUGGGUAGUUUGACUGGGGCGGUCUCCUCCUAAAGAGUAACGGAGGAGUACGAAGGUGCGCUCAGCGUGGUCGGAAAUCACGCGUAGAGUAUAAAGGCAAAAGCGCGCUUAACUGCGAGACCCACAAGUCGAGCAGGUACGAAAGUAGGUCUUAGUGAUCCGGUGGUUCUGUAUGGAAGGGCCAUCGCUCAACGGAUAAAAGGUACUCUGGGGAUAACAGGCUGAUACCGCCCAAGAGUUCAUAUCGACGGCGGUGUUUGGCACCUCGAUGUCGGCUCAUCUCAUCCUGGGGCUGAAGCAGGUCCCAAGGGUAUGGCUGUUCGCCAUUUAAAGAGGUACGCGAGCUGGGUUUAGAACGUCGUGAGACAGUUCGGUCCCUAUCUACCGUGGGCGCUGGAAAUUUGAGAGGAUCUGCUCCUAGUACGAGAGGACCAGAGUGGACGAACCUCUGGUGUACCGGUUGUGACGCCAGUCGCAUCGCCGGGUAGCUAUGUUCGGAAGGGAUAACCGCUGAAAGCAUCUAAGCGGGAAGCCUACCUCAAGAUAAGAUUUCCCUAGGACUUUAUGUCCUCUAAAGAGCCGUUCGAGACUAGGACGUUGAUAGGUUGGAUGUGGAAGCAUAGUGAUAUGUGAAGCUGACCAAUACUAAUUGCUCGUGAGGCUUGACUAUACAACACCC
rnacentral:rRNA from 1 species